rnacentral:rRNA from 1 species
CCCUUAGAUGUUCUGGGCUGCACGCGCGCUACACUGAAGCUAUCAACACGUUUUCCCUCCCUGAGAAGGGCGGGUAACCUUUUGAAUCAGCUUCUUGGUAGGGAUCGGGGCUUGCAAUUGUUCCCCGUGAACCAGGAAUUCCUAGUAGACGCGAGUCAUAAGCUCGCAUCGAUUAAGUCCCUGCCCUUUGUACACACCGCCCGUCGCUACUACCGAUUGAACGUUUUAGUGAGGCAUUUGGACCGACGCAUCUCAGUUUAACCGCUGGUUUGUGUUGGAAAGACUUCCAAACUUGAGCGUUUAGAGGAAGUAAAAGUCGUAACA